rnacentral:rRNA from 1 species
GACGAACGCUGGCGGCGUGCUUAACACAUGCAAGUCGAACGGGAACCUUUAUUUCGGUAAAGGUGAGAGUGGCAAACGGGUGAGUAACACGUAGGCAACCUGCCGACAGGAUGGGGACAACAUUCCGAAAGGAAUGCUAAUACCGAAUGGAGUCCGAGGAUGGCAUCAUCCACGGAUAAAAGAUGGCCUCUUAACAAUGCUAUCGCCUGUCGAUGGGCCUGCGUCUGAUUAGCCAGUUGGCGGGGUAACGGCCCACCAAAGCGACGAUCAGUAGCCGGUCUGAGAGGAUGAACGGCCACAUUGGGACUGAGACACGGCCCAGACUCCUACGGGAGGCAGCAGUGGGGAAUCUUCCACAAUGGGCGAAAGCCUGAUGGAGCAACGCCGCGUGAGUGAAGAAGGUCUUCGGAUCGUAAAGCUCUGUUGCACGGGACGAAAACCGAGUUUGAGAAUAUGAAA